CUUAACUAUGAUAUGAUAUAAAAUUAAUCGUUAAUUUAAUUGUUAACCGCAGCGAAGCGCGGGUUCUAUACUAGUGCUAUUUAAAGUACAGUAAUUCAUUCAUCGUGUUUGGAAUAUGGUGAUUCAUUUAACGUGGUUAGUUAAAUAAGAUAAUGUAUUUUAAAACUAGAAUGUAAGCCUCUUUCUUUCCGGAUGCUAUUUAAAAUACGGUGAAUGAAUCAUUGUAUUCUAAAUAUGGUGAAUCACCGUGUUAAUUUAAAAACUUUAUUUUUAUUAAAAAGGAUGAUCACAGGCUUAUAUAUCAAAGACGAGCGACAGUUGUUCUUGAUGAAAAAUUCAAAAUUUUUCAAUAAUUAUUAUUUUUAAUUCAUUAAUUAUUUUAUAUUUUAUUAUUUAAUUUAUUAUUUUUAUUGCGAAGUGGGCGCGGACGUUCCACAAUGGAACAUUGCGCAACGUUCCUUUUCUUCUUCACCCCUGCUUUUAUAGUGGACUCCACUGUCCAUGGGUUUCUAGAACACAUGACAGUGAGCCAUCGUUAUGUACUGUUCACAGAGAUGAACAUGUUAGAGGGAAAAAAAGAGAAAAGAAUUUUUUAUUUUUAUUUUUAUUUUAUUUUAUUUGAUAUCUUUAUCGCUCGGUGUCGAAAGAAGCUCCGCCAACCUCUUCCGCGUUCGUGUCUGUAGGAGGAGGAAUUUCGAUCAUACCUUGGGACGGUGUUUUCGGUUAAUCCCACACAAAAGACCGAAAUACGUCUUAGGGUAGUGCCUCGCACGCUUCUGGAUCAAUUGUUUGCUAUUCUUCUUCCACAAUUUUUUUUUAGAAUUUAACGAUCAUCUGUAAGUUGAUUUAUUUAAUUUUCAUCACAAUUUAGUUACAUUUUAAUUACAAUCGAAUUUUUCAUUCCGAUUUUCCUCAACAGUUCUUAGGAAAUAGUUUGUUCUUAGGAAACAAAACAUCAUGUUCACAGGCGGCGCGGUUUGGCCUUGCUCUGCAUUAGUCUCUUGCUUUGUAUGGUUCAUGAAUGACAUGGUAGACUAGUUUGGUAGAACCAAUUUUUUUAGGGCUUUUUUGCAUUUAGCCCCUCCUAAGAAUUUUUAUUUUCACAAAUAGUCCUAUAAAAUUUAUAUUUACAAGAUUGGCUCUAUUUCUGCCAGGCAAGCACCACGCAAAGGCCACGUAAGCGUAGAUGGUGAUGUAGAUUAAGUUGAACACGGUGAACCAUUCACUGCGUUUUAUUAUUUUCCUACCAUGGUAUUAAAUAUUAUUUAAGGUUAGGAUUUAGGAAUGACACGGUGAAUUAACACCGUGUCCAACUUAACCAACACGGUGAAUGAUUCACCUUGUUUAAUUAACAAAGACUGCCACGCACUAAUAGCACUCGCGUGGCACUUGUGUGGCAGGAAUAUGGCCAAUCUUAUAAAUACAAAUUUUAUAAGGUUAUUUGUGAAAACAAAAAAUUAGGGGCUAAAUACAAAAAAAAAGUUUUUUUUUUUUAUUACUGUCGUCCCUUGUGUAAGGAUGUAAAGAGCCACCCGGCUCGACAUAGCUACUGUAACAUCCGUGCCGGGCCAUGCCAAGCCGAGCUUUUGCAGCUCGUAGCCUGGCACGGCACGGCCCAGUACCUGUAGUCCUAUUUAGUUAAAACUUAUAGGCCUAACUAAGUCAAGCCAUAGUCAGGUUUAGCCAAACCUAAUUUAUUAGGCCUGGGAUAUGCCUGCCCUUUUAGGCCUGGCAGACCCUUGGAGCCUUGGAGGAUGGCCCCAACAGCACUUAAUGUAGUAUCCCUAGAGUUUAGCGGUUGGAGUGACUACAAUAUCUAUGGCUGUCGACACAUCUAUAGAGUGUCGGGACGAGUUUGAGUCGUUUGGCGCGAAAUUGACGUAAAAACGGACUUGGCGCAAUGCGAGAUUGGAGUUCUGCCACCGAAAUCUGCAAAUUGCAGGUUUUGAGUGUUCAGUACCGGUACCUGAGUGGAGUAUCGGUACUGGAACUGGGUACCGAUACUGCAUCGAGCUAGUACCGUCACACUGUAUUAAAACCCAACUGUCCAGCGCUCGAGUUUUAGCUGUUUAAGUGUUGGGUACCGGUACCUCAACCGAGUACCGGUACUCAAUGCGACAGUUUGAGUUGGUAAAGAGGUUUUUGGUAAUUUUGCAGCCAUGUUUAUCCCAUUUAUUCCCAACCGACCCAGCAGGAUAUACAUGUUGGAGCUUAGAGAAACAGGAUUGUUCACCUCGAUUUGCUUCAGUUUGAGGCUGACCCGGUGUGGGGUUUCGUCUAUCAACUUCUAGCCGGUGUUGGACGAGCAUUUGAGCCGAAUGCACACACACACACGCCACACACGCACGCAAG